AGCGAACGCUGGCGGCAGGCCUAACACAUGCAAGUCGAACGAAGCCUUCGGGCUUAGUGGCGGACGGGUGAGUAACACGUGGGAACGUACCUUUUGGUUCGGAACAACUCAGGGAAACUUGAGCUAAUACCGGAUGAGCCCUUAGGGGGAAAGAUUUAUCGCCGAAAGAGCGGCCCGCGUUAGAUUAGCUAGUUGGUGAGGUAAAGGCUCACCAAGGCAACGAUCUAUAGCUGGUCUGAGAGGAUGAUCAGCCACACUGGGACUGAGACACGGCCCAGACUCCUACGGGAGGCAGCAGUGGGGAAUCUUGCGCAAUGGGCGAAAGCCUGACGCAGCCAUGCCGCGUGAAUGAUGAAGGUCUUAGGAUUGUAAAAUUCUUUUACCAGGGACGAUAAUGACGGUACCUGGAGAAAAAGCCCCGGCCAACUUCGUGCCAGCCGCCGCCGUAA
rnacentral:rRNA from 1 species